CCAACGGCCCUUUUCAGGGCCACCAUUUGACUGAGUGCAUGCUUU
rfam:Soboliphyme baturini genome assembly, scaffold: SBAD_scaffold0003197